rnacentral:rRNA from 1 species
CCUACGGGAGGCAGCAGUGGGGAAUAUUGCACAAUGGGGGAAACCCUGAUGCAGCGACGCCGCGUGAGUGAUGAAGUAUUUCGGUAUGUAAAGCUCUAUCAGCAGGGAAGAUAAUGACGGUACCUGACUAAGAAGCUCCGGCUAAAUACGUGCCAGCAGCCGGGGUAAUACGUAUGGAGCAAGCGUUAUCCGGAUUGACUGGGUGUAAAGGGAGCGCAGACGGCAGGGCAAGUCUGAUGUGAAAGCCCGGGGCGCAACCCCGGGACUGCAUUUGAAACUGUCCGGCUAGAGUGCAGGAGAGGUAAGUGGAAUGCCUAGUGUAGCGGUGAAAUGCGUAGAUAUUAGGAAGAACACCAGUGGCGAAGGCAGCUUACUGGACUGUAACUGACGUUGAGGCUCGAAAGCGUGGGGAGCAAACAGGAUUAGAUACCCUAGUAGUC